GACGAACCGUGCGAACGUUGUUCGGAAUCACUGGGCUUAAAGGGCGCGUAGGCGGGCUGUCAAGUUUGGGGUGAAAUCCCGCGGCUCAACCGUGGAACUGCCUCAAAUACUGACGGCCUCGAGGAAGGUAGGGGCAUGCGGAACUGUAGGUGGAGCGGUGAAAUGCGUUGAUAUCUACAGGAACACCGGUGGCGAAAGCGGCGUGCUGGACCUUUUCUGACGCUGAGGCGCGAAAGCUAGGGGAGCAAACGGG
rnacentral:rRNA from 1 species